UACGGGGGGGGCAAGCGUUGUUCGGAAUUACUGGGCGUAAAGGGCUCGUAGGUGGCCAACUAAGUCGGACGUGAAAUCCCUCGGCUUAACCGGGGAACUGCGUCCGAUACUGGUUGGCUUGAGUUUGGGAGAGGGAUGCGGAAUUCCAGGUGUAGCGGUGAAAUGCGUAGAUAUCUGGAGGAACACCGGUGGCGAAGGCGGCAUCCUGGACCAUUACUGACGCUGAGGCGCGAAAGCUAGGGGAGCAAACGGG
rnacentral:rRNA from 1 species